AAUGGAUUGUCCUCGUAUGGUUUUAUCCCUCCCCCAACGAACACUCCAAUUUUUGUAACUAACGAGGUCACCGAAAUUGAGAAUUACAAAUCGAUAAUCGAAUCGCACAUACAGCAGGAUCACAACUUGCAGAAUCUGGUAACGAACUCAAAUGAAAACUUGUUAGUCACUGCUGCCGCCUCAUCUAUUUUAAUUAAGGAAUUGGUGGCCAAAUUAAUUGAACUUAAAGGCACAUCGCCCAGUUCAACUGACCAAAAAAGAUUUGCCAGGGCAAUUAUCCUCGUCAUUCCAGCAUGGCGAUAUCCCGGAAGUGAAGACGGAA